AGCAGCCGCGGUAAUUCCAGCUCCAAUAGCGUAUAUUAAAGUUGUUGCAGUUAAAAAGCUCGUAGUUGAAUUUCGGGAUCAGUACGCUGGUCAUGCCUUUGGUAUGCACUGGUGUCACUGGUUUCUCCCUUCUGAAGAUCCGUGAUGUCAUUAAUUUGGUGUCGCGGGGAAUCAGGACUGUUACUUUGAAAAAAUUAGAGUGUUUAAAGCAGGCUCACGCUUGAAUACAUUAGCAUGGAAUAAUGAAAUAGGACGUUUGACCCUAUUUUGUUGGUUUCUAGGAUCGACGUAAUGAUUAAUAGGGAUAGUUGGGGGCAUUAGUAUUCAAUUGUCAGAGGUGAAGUUCUUGGAUUUAUUGAAGACUAACUACUGCGAAAGCAUUUGCCAAGGAUGUUUUCAUUAAUCAAGAACGAAAGUUAGGGGAUCGAAGACGAUCAGAUACCGUCGUAGUCUUAACCAUAAACUAUGCCGACUAGGGAUCGGAUGAUGUUAAUUUUAUAAUGACUCU
rnacentral:rRNA from 1 species